rnacentral:tRNA from 1 species
GUCGGAGUGGCGGAACUGGCAGACGCGUACGUUUGAGGGGCGUAUGGAUAAAACCGUGGGGGUUCGAGUCCCCUCUCCGACACCA